AUUGAACGCUGGCGGCCGGCCUAACACAUGCAAGUCGAGCGAGCGGCGGACGGGUGAGUAAUGCCUAGGAAUCUGCCUGGUAGUGGGGGAUAACUACUGGAAACGGUAGCUAAUACCGCAUACCAUCAGAUGUGCCCAGAUGGGAUUAGCUUGUUGGUGGGGUACCGGCUCACCAAGGCGACGAUCCCUAGCUGGUCUGAGAGGAUGACCAGCCACACUGGAACGUAGACACGGCCCAGACUCCUACGGGAGGCAGCAGUGGGGAAUAUUGCACAAUGGGCGCAAGCCUGAUGCAGCCAUGCCGCGUGUAUGAAGAAGGCCUUCGGGUUGUAAAGUACUUUCAGCGGUGAGGCGUUACCCGCAGAAGAAGCACCGGCUAACUCCGUGCCAGCAGCCGCGGUAAUUC
rnacentral:rRNA from 1 species